AUGUCCUGUACAAACACAGGGAGAGAGGUAAGCCUCGGUCACCCUCUGGGCCUCUGGCUGGCAGGCUAUGAUGCCUACUUCAGUUGUUAAAGAAACACAACACAGGUAAUGAAGAUUUUAGUGUACAAGGCUCUUUCCACCCCAACCGCUUGAAGGUUAAUGUAUUUACGUUAAUCAGCAACAUCCAGACUGAGCAUUAAAAUCAAUCCUUUAACAUCUGACAGAUGGGGAGGGGAGCAAUAUUUAUUCCUAUACAAACUAGAGGCAGGCUGAUUUCAUCAGCCCAUUAAAGCUGAUUGCAGAUAAAAUCGGUAGUGGGGUUUUUAACGGCCGAUAAGUAACAAAAAAUUAAAGUAAGUGAAAGCCAAAGAUAGGUUCACAGCUCCACCACUGCAGAAUAGAACGGAGUCGUGGCAAAGAAGUUGAGCGCUGAAACAUUAGGCUGUAGCCCGUUGACAAAACCUGUUUAAUGUUUGUUUGUGAAACAGUCUAACAAAAUUCUAGCGAGUAAAUGAACAACGGCCGAAUCCUCUUCUCCCCCGUCCAUCUGGCGCUAACUGCCGCGAUAAAACUUGCAGUUUAUCUGUUGCUGAAGUAGUUAGCCACAAAGCAAGCUAAUGCCACUGCCUGUCAGUGGAUGACAGUAAACGAGUCGUUAACGUGAAGCAUUCUACUCAUUCCGCCUAAAGGAGAACCAUUGUUUACCAGCCAAUUAUAAUCAACAACAGUAAUAUAUUAUUUUGUGUCACACAACCAUAACAAAAUAUAUGUGUUGUCGUUCAAGUUUACCAUUUUUGACAAUAAAACAAGUUCAUUUUUCAGCUGCAUAACGACCUGCUCAGUGAACCAGGUACCGUGGUCAGACCUCUUCAAUAUCUAAACCCUGAUCAUGAGUUCAGGUUUAAAAAUGAAUAUCGGCCGAUAUCUCGUUGCGAUGUAAACACUCAAAUAUCGAAAUAGGCAUCGGCCUUAAAAACCCGGUAUCAGUCACGCUCUAACUAAAACACAAACCUUUGUCUUUGGGUCGAUGAGACUGACUCCAUGCUUGUUGAUGGCGAUCAGCAGGAUCUCUGGGUAGUUGGGCUCUGUGGUUUGCUAAAGACAAAAAAUAGAUAUUUAUGUCUUGACAUCCAUUGAUCAUCUAUCAUAUCUAAUAAUUUUUACGUUUCAUAUUAGCAGUUAGCACGUCUUGUUUGACAAUUCAGUGUUUCCUCUUGUUACAUUUGAUAAAAUGGACGUCAGAAAUGAGUGAGGGCUGCAGACAGGAAGUGACAGGCUCAGGUGUGUUUACCUUGACCUCAAAGAAGGCGGAGCCAAAGGUCGGCCAUUUGUAGAUGAUCUUCAGGAACAUCAGUUUGGCCUCUUCCCUUGAUUUACCGGCCUGCUUGUUGAAUUUUUCAGGUUUACCCUUUUCCAGUCAUCUGGCGACAUCUGGCGAAUGAGAUCCUGGGGAACCAGCUCCCGAAGCAUCUUGGGAAUUGUAGGAAAGUGGGAUUUGUCAUCCUCAAACUUGACACGUGUAAAUACCAUAAAACUGACCUGGUAGUAGUGGAAGAUGGAGUCAGCGAAAGAGUCCUUCCCUGGAACUGUGUUGGUCCACAACUUCUUCAUGAAGAACACCUGAUAGG